UACGUAGGGCGCAAGCGUUGUCCGGAAUUAUUGGGCGUAAAGAGCUCGUAGGCGGUUUGUCACGUCGGCUGUGAAAACCCGAGGCUCAACCUCGGGCCUGCAGUCGAUACGGGCAGACUAGAGUGCUGUAGGGGAGACUGGAAUUCCUGGUGUAGCGGUGAAAUGCGCAGAUAUCAGGAGGAACACCGGUGGCGAAGGCGGUUCUCUGGGCCUGUACUGACGCUGAGGAGCGAAAGCGUGGGGAGCGAACAGG
rnacentral:rRNA from 1 species